UAGGAACUUGGGAUACAAGGUUUGAUUCAGGUACAAAAGCAGCAUUAUUGUUGCCAUUUUCUCCAAUCGUCAUCGCAGCUGAUGAAAAUGAACAAAUAAGAGUGUGGAACACUGGAACUACGAUGAUGCACUACCAGUGAACUCUUUUCAAAACCAUAAAUUGUCCGACAGAGGGCUAUCGAAACUCUUGCUUAUCAACGAGCUUGAUGAGAGCUUGCUUUUAGCUGCCUCAAGUGAUGGAAAUGUACGUAUAUGGAAAAAUUUUACUCAAAAGGGAGGA